rnacentral:rRNA from 1 species
AUGAACGCUGGCGGCGUGCUUAACACAUGCAAGUCGAACGAAGCACUUUAUUUGAUUUCCUUCGGGACUGAUUAUUUUGUGACUGAGUGGCGGACGGGUGGGUAACGCGUGGGUAACCUGCCUUGUACAGGGGGAUAACAGUUGGAAACGGCUGCUAAUACCGCAUAAGCGCACGGCAUCGCAUGAUGCAGUGUGAAAAACUCCGGUGGUAUAAGAUGGACCCGCGUUGGAUUAGCUAGUUGGUGAGGUAACGGCCCACCAAGGCGACGAUCCAUAGCCGACCUGAGAGGGUGACCGGCCACAUUGGGACUGAGACACGGCCCAAACUCCUACGGGAGGCAGCAGUGGGGAAUAUUGCACAAUGGGCGAAAGCCUGAUGCAGCGACGCCGCGUGAGCGAAGAAGUAUUUCGGUAUGUAAAGCUCUAUCAGCAGGGAAGAUAAUGACGGUACCUGACUAAGAAGCACCGGCUAAAUACGUG